rnacentral:tRNA from 1 species
AUUAUUAUAGUUUAAAUAAAAUAAAGGUUUGUGGUGCCUUAGAUGUAGAUUUUACUAAUAAUC